rnacentral:rRNA from 1 species
CGCUGGCGGCGUGCUUAACACAUGCAAGUCGAACGAUGAUGCUCCAGCUUGCUGGGGUGGAUUAGUGGCGAACGGGUGAGUAACACGUGAGUAACCUGCCCUCUUCUUUGGGAUAACGGUCGGAAACGGCUGCUAAUACUGGAUAUUCACUCAUUGGCGCAUGUUGGUGGGUGGAAAGGUUUUUUCUGGUGGGGGAUGGGCUCGCGGCCUAUCAGCUUGUUGGUGGGGUGAUGGCCUACCAAGGCUUUGACGGGUAACCGGCCUGAGAGGGUGACCGGUCACAUUGGGACUGAGAUACGGCCCAGACUCCUACGGGAGGCAGCAGUGGGGAAUUUUGCACAAUGGGCGCAAGCCUGAUGCAGCGACGCCGCGUGAGGGAUGAAGGCCUUCGGGUUGUAAACCUUUUUCGCUCAUGGUCAAGCCGCAACUGUGGUUGUGGUGAGGGUAGUGGGUAAAGAAGCGCCGGCUAACUACGUGCCAGCAGCCGCGGUAAUACGUAGGGCGCGAGCGUUGUCCGGAAUUAUUGGGCGUAAAGGGCUUGUAGGC